ensembl:lncRNA novel transcript
AAAAUGCUACUAAAAUGACAGCAAAGAAGCCAAAAAGGCCCAAGUCCACAAGACAGAAAGAAUAGGUGAAAAGUCCAUGUCAUCUCAUUUUUGGAGAUGGACAUGGACAGGGGCUGAAACUGCAGUACCAGCAGAUGGGGAGCUUAAGAAGGAAGCUAGUUCAUGGCACAGCACCCGUAAAGUCCCCAGAAUUGGAGGCACCAGAUUCUUCUGAAAGAAAAGGAGCAAUUCAGCACUUGUCAUGCAGAUAAGAGGUCAACACCCCAGGACGGAGUGAAAACCUAAGGAUUCACAAACCCACCCUUGUGCGAAUCCAGCCGUCUGUGUUCUAGACUGGCAAGGACCAUAUCUGAUUCUGAGAUGCUCAGGAAGGUGUGCUCCCAAUUGGCCCUUGUCCAGACUAGUUUACUUGCUGAGUAUCCCCAGGGCACAGGAACAAUCAUUUGGGGUUGCGGCUUUGUUCAUAGGGUCAUCAAGACAGGAGGAUAUGAGGCAGAAUCACCACACAAGCUAACCUGAUGUACAUAUGACAUUAAUCCAAUAGACUUAGGAAUAAGAUACAGGGGGUUUUCCUGAAUGAUUCGAGUAUAUCCCCAUUCAUAUUAAGAAAACAAAGUAUUGGCCAAGCGUGGUGGCUCACGCCUGUAAUCCCGGCACUUUGGAAGGCCGAGGCCAGUGGAUCACCUGAGAUGGACUCAACGACUCUCUUACCGUCCAGCUCUCAAGUCCCUUCUCUUGUGAAAAUGGAAAAGUUGAACUACAGUUGAGAUAUUAUUCCCAGGUGUUCUUUGGAACACAGGGGAUUUCUCCAAAAGGCACAGAACAAAUUGCCUCCAAACAGCCAAGAUUCCAGCAGAAGCUGGAGUAGCAGACUACUUGGAUCUUCAAAGUACCUGGCCCUGAGUCAGUUAAGGAAGAUCUUUUCUUCUCUUUUGUACAAUCCUAUGAUGAGAGCUGCAAAGUGAACUGACUAAGAGCUUCUGCCUUGAUCAUUGACCUCCCAAUCCUAAUAAUAUGUUCACUGGCCAAACUUCCUAAUCGAUUUGUCUUUUGGAUAUAACGUUCCUCCUACUGUUUGCCUGAUUGAGAAAUCUGCUACAGAACAUGACCGGUUAGCAUUCCCACCAACCCCAGUGCUACACUGACUGUCUUUCGAUGGACUUUGCUCCUUGCUGCCUCUCUGAGGUCCCAGACCUUCAGAGUGACCUUCACAGCUCUGCCUAACUUUCUGUCAUACUUCUAUCAAGAGAGACAGCUAAAUCAAUAUUUUUAAUGUGCUUUGCUGUCGGAAUUCGAUGAUCUGUCACAGUUCUUGCCCAAUACACCCCAUCAUUAUUGUUAAAAUGUUUUUAGCUUUGUUUGUAGAAUUGCUUUAACUGGUUUCAUCUCUGGGAGCUACACUUUGAAAUAUAACUUUAGCAACAUUUUACUAUACUUUUUCACAACCCAGAGCAGUACUAUUUUAUGCUUAGUGGUUAAACUAAUUCCAUAAAUCUUUUGCAACUAUCCUCUAUUCUUUUUCUUGUAAUUUUUACCUGGGAAGGUUUUUACUGAUAAUCAUCCUAUCCUGAGUCAUCCCACAAACCAAUCUGUCUCACUAAUCAUUGCUUCUAACCUACAGACUAAGCAUAACUUCUGCUAAAUGAUCUUUGAUAAGAUGCUAUGACUCUAUAAAGUCUUUGAUAUUCAUGUCUAAAUUUAAUCACUUGUAGAUUUUCAUAGAAUCAAUCUUUCACUUCUACAAUUGGGAGUAUUUAUAAGUUGUUUAUCUUAAACAGUUCCUCUAUCACGCUUUUCACGUUAAAUAAAGCAAUCCCUUCAAAUC